UACGUAGGUGGCAAGCGUUAUCCGGAAUUAUUGGGCGUAAAGAGCGCGCAGGUGGUUGAUUAAGUCUGAUGUGAAAGCCCACGGCUUAACCGUGGAGGGUCAUUGGAAACUGGUCGACUUGAGUGCAGAAGAGGGAAGUGGAAUUCCAUGUGUAGCGGUGAAAUGCGUAGAUAUCGGGAGGAACACCAGUGGCGAAGGCGACUUCCUGGCACAAUACUGACGCUCAUGUGCGAAAGCUAGGGUAGCGAACGGGAUUAGAUACCCG
rnacentral:rRNA from 1 species